GUUAGUUUGGGUUGGCGUUCAAAUGGCGUAGGGUUUAACCGCCCUGCGCAAUUCCUACUCGCACCUCCUCGUGGUGGACGCCGGUAACCAGGUGAGGACUCCAAGAUCGGGUAACCAACCCCGAUGGCGGAUACUUACCUGGGCUAACGCGAGAGGG
rnacentral:ribozyme from 1 species